AAAGUUGUUUUAAAGCAAUCUAAGCCUUCUGAACUUAUUCUAAUUAUGUACCUUCACCACAAAUGAUCUUUUUCCAUACCUUAGGUGCCGAUCUUUCCGAAUGAGUCUUCGUCCUCAAAUUUGAAUCUCUUCUCAAAAACUUCUGCGAUCAACUCUUCAAGACUCCAAACAACUUUACGAAAUUCGCCAACCUAUAAAAUCCUUAAU
rnacentral:lncRNA from 1 species